rnacentral:rRNA from 1 species
UACGUAGGGGCCUAGCGUUGUCCGGAUUUAUUGGGCGUAAAGAGCUCGUAGGUGGUUCCGUAAGUCAGGUGUGAAACCUCCAGGCUCAACCUGGAGACGCCACCUGAUACUGCGGUGACUGGAGUCCGGUAGGGGAGCGUGGAAUUCCUGGUGUAGCGGUGAAAUGCGCAGAUAUCAGGAGGAACACCAGCGGCGAAGGCGGCGCUCUGGGCCGGUACUGACACUGAGGAGCGAAGCGUGGGUAGCAAACAGG